AGAGUUUGAUCCUGGCUCAGGACGAACGCUGGCGGCGUGCUUAACACAUGCAAGUCGAACGAAAAGACGGAAAGAGCUUGCUCUUUCCGGAAUUGAGUGGCAAACGGGUGAGUAACACGUAAACAACCUGCCUUCAGGAUGGGGACAACAGACGGAAACGACUGCUAAUACCGAAUAAGUUCCAAGAGCCGCAUGGCCCAUGGAAGAAAAGGUGGCCUCUACCUGUAAGCUAUCGCCUGAAGAGGGGUUUGCGUCUGAUUAGCUGGUUGGAGGGGUAACGGCCCACCAAGGCGACGAUCAGUAGCCGGUCUGAGAGGAUGAACGGCCACACUGGAACUGAGACACGGUCCAGACUCCUACGGGAGGCAGCAGUGGGGAAUCUUCCGCAAUGGGCGAAAGCCUGACGGAGCAACGCCGCGUGAGUGAUGACGGCCUUCGGGUUGUAAAACUCUGUGAUCCGGGACGAAAAGGCAGAGUGCGAAGAACAAACUGCAUUGACGGUACCGGAAAAGCAAGCCACGGCUAACUACGUGCCAGCAGCCGCGGUAAUACGUAGGUGGCAAGCGUUGUCCGGAAUUAUUGGGCGUAAAGCGCGCGCAGGCGGCUUCCCAAGUCCCUCUUAAAAGUGCGGGGCUUAACCCCGUGAUGGGAAGGAAACUGGGAAGCUGGAGUAUCGGAGAGGAAAGUGGAAUUCCUAGUGUAGCGGUGAAAUGCGUAGAGAUUAGGAAGAACACCGGUGGCGAAGGCGACUUUCUGGACGAAAACUGACGCUGAGGCGCGAAAGCGUGGGGAGCAAACAGGAUUAGAUACCCUGGUAGUCCACGCCGUAAAC
rnacentral:rRNA from 1 species